rfam:Picea glauca, whole genome shotgun sequence.
ACAUGCUUACAACAUAGAAUUAAUGCACUAGAUCCCAUUAUAACUUUGUAGUUAAGUGUGCUCAGGAUAGAAUAGUACUAGGAUGGGUGACCACCCAGGAAGUAUUAUUAUUUUACAUGCC